GAUGAACGCUGGCGGCGUGCCUAAUACAUGCAAGUCGAGCGAACGGACGAGAAUCUUGCUUCUCUGAUGUUAGCGGCGGACGGGUGAGUAACACGUGGAUAACCUACCUAUAAGACUGGGAUAACUUCGGGAAACCGGAGCUAAUACCGGAUGAUAUUUUGAACCGCAUGGUUCAAAAGUGAAAGACGGUUUUGCUGUCACUUAUCGAUGGAUCCGCGCUGCAUUAGCUAGUUGGUAAGGUAACGGCUUACCAAGGCAACGAUGCCUAGCCGACCUGAGAGGGUGAUCGGCCACACUGGAACUGAGACACGGUCCAGACUCCUACGGGAGGCAGCAGUAGGGAAUCGUCCGCAAUGGGCGAAAGCUUGACGGAGCAACGCCGCGUGAGUGAUGAAGGUCUUCGGAUCGUAAAACUCUGUUAUUGGGGAAGAACAUAUGUGUAAGUAACUGUGCACAUCUUGACGGUACCUAAUCAGAAAGCCACGGCUAACUACGUG
rnacentral:rRNA from 1 species